rnacentral:rRNA from 1 species
CCUACGGGGGCUGCAGUGGGGAAUAUUGGACAAUGGGCGAAAGCCUGAUCCAGCCAUGCCGCGUGUGUGAAGAAGGCCUUCGGGUUGUAAAGCACUUUCAGUGGGGAAGAAAGCCUUGGGGCUAAUACCCUCGAGGAAGGACAUCACCCACAGAAGAAGCACCGGCUAACUCCGUGCCAGCAGCCGCGGUAAUACGGAGGGUGCGAGCGUUAAUCGGAAUUACUGGGCGUAAAGCGCGCGUAGGCGGUCUGAUAAGCCGGUUGUGAAAGCCCCGGGCUCAACCUGGGAACGGCAUCCGGAACGGUCAGGCUAGAGUGCAGGAGAGGAAGGUAGAAUUCCCGGUGUAGCGGUGAAAUGCGUAGAGAUCGGGAGGAAUACCAGUGGCGAAGGCGGCCUUCUGGACUGACACUGACGCUGAGGUGCGAAAGCGUGGGUAGCAAACAGGAUUAGAUACCCCUGUAGUC